rnacentral:rRNA from 1 species
GACGAACGCUGGCGGCGUGCUUAACACAUGCAAGUCGAGCGGUAAGGCCCUUUCGGGGGUACGACGAGCGGCGAACGGGUGAGUAACACGUGGGUGACCUGCCCUCAGCUCUGGGAUAAGCCUGGGAAACCGGGUCUAAUACCGGAUAUGACUCCACGACGCAUGUUGUGGGGUGGAAAGCCUUGUGCGGCUGAGGAUGGGCCCGCGGCCUAUCAGCUUGUUGGUGGGGUGAUGGCCUACCAAGGCGACGACGGGUAGCCGGCCUGAGAGGGCGACCGGCCACACUGGGACUGAGACACGGCCCAGACUCCUACGGGAGGCAGCAGUGGGGAAUCUUGCGCAAUGGGCGAAAGCCUGACGCAGCGACGCCGCGUGAGGGAUGACGGCCU